ACGCUCGACACCUACGGGAGCAGCAGUAGGGAAUCUUCCACAAUGGACGCAAGUCUGAUGGAGCAACGCCGCGUGAGUGAAGAAGGUUUUCGGAUCGUAAAGCUCUGUUGUUGGUGAAGAAGGAUAGAGGUAGUAACUGGCCUUUAUUUGACGUAAUCAACCAGAAAGUCACGGCUAACUACGUGCCAACAGCCGCGGUAAUCUGAGCGGGCUGGCAAGGC
rnacentral:rRNA from 1 species